GUGGGGAAUAUUGGGCAAUGGGCGCAAGCCUGACCCAGCAACGCCGCGUGAAGGAAGAAGGCUUUCGGGUUGUAAACUUCUUUUCUGAGGGACGAUAGUGACGGUACCUCAGGAAUAAGCCACGGCUAACUACGUGCCAGCAGCCGCGGUAAUACGUAGGUGGCAAGCGUUAUCCGGAUUUACUGGGUGUAAAGGGCGUGUAGGCGGGACUGCAAGUCAGAUGUGAAAACUAUGGGCUCAACCCAUAGCCUGCAUUUGAAACUGUAGUUCUUGAGUGUUGGAGAGGCAGGCGGAAUUCCGUGUGUAGCGGUGAAAUGCGUAGAUAUACGGAGGAACACCAGUGGCGAAGGCGGCCUGCUGGACAAUAACUGACGCUGAGGCGCGAAAGCGUGGGGAGCAAACAGG
rnacentral:rRNA from 1 species